UACGUAGGGUGCAAGCGUUAAUCGGAAUUACUGGGCGUAAAGCGUGCGCAGGCGGUUGUGCAAGACAGAUGUGAAAUCCCCGGGCUUAAACUGGGAACUGCAUUUGUGACUGCACAGCUGGAGUGCGGCAGAGGGGGAUGGAAUUCCGCGUGUAGCAGUGAAAUGCGUAGAUAUGCGGAGGAACACCGAUGGCGAAGGCAAUCCCCUGGGCCUGCACUGACGCUCAUGCACGAAAGCGUGGGGAGCGAACAGG
rnacentral:rRNA from 1 species